CUUGCGAUUACGGCAAGACGGGAAACGGC
rnacentral:sRNA from 1 species